rnacentral:rRNA from 1 species
UGGGGAAUAUUGCACAAUGGGCGCAAGCCUGAUGCAGCCAUGCCGCGUGUAUGAAGAAGGCCUUCGGGUUGUAAAGUACUUUCAGCGGGGAGGAAGGCGAUAAGGUUAAUAACCUUGUCGAUUGACGUUACCCGCACAAGAAGCACCGGCUAACUCCGUGCCAGCAGCCGCGGUAAUACGGAGGGUGCAAGCGUUAAUCGGAAUUACUGGGCGUAAAGCGCACGCAGGCGGUCUGUCAAGUCGGAUGUGAAAUCCCCGGGCUCAACCUGGGAACUGCAUUCGAAACUGGCAGGCUAGAGUCUUGUAGAGGGGGGUAGAAUUCCAGGUGUAGCGGUGAAAUGCGUAGAGAUCUGGAGGAAUACCGGUGGCGAAGGCGGCCCCCUGGACAAAGACUGACGCUCAGGUGCGAAAGCGUGGGGAGCAAACA